rnacentral:rRNA from 1 species
AAUCAACGCUGGCGGCGUGCCUCAGACAUGCAAGUCGAACGAUUAAAGCUCUCUUCGGAGAGUGUAUAGAGUGGCGCACGGGUGAGUAACACGUAAGUAAUCUACCUUUGAGUGGGGAAUAACAGUCGGAAACGACUGCUAAUACCGCAUAAUGCAGCGGCAUCGCAAGAUGACAGUUGUUAAAGGAGCAAUCCGCUUAAAGAGGAGCUUGCGGCAGAUUAGCUUGUUGGUAAGGUAACGGCUUACCAAGGCUACGAUCUGUAUCCGGUCUAAGAGGACGGUCGGACACACUGACACUGAAUAACGGGUCAGACUCCUACGGGAGGCAGCAGUCGGGAAUUUUGGGCAAUGGGCGAAAGCCUGACCCAGCAACGCCGCGUGAAGGAUGAAGUAUUUCGGUAGUGUAAACUUACGAAGAAUGGGAAGAAUACAAUGACGGUACCAUUUAUUAAGCUCCGGCUAACUACGUGCCACGCCGCCGCGGUAAC